rnacentral:rRNA from 1 species
GACGAAGGUGGCGAGCGUUGUUCGGAAUCACUGGGCAUAAAGCGCACGUAGGCGGCGGCGUAAGUCGGAUGUGAAAUCCCUCGGCCCAACCGAGGAACUGCGUCCGAUACUGCGUUGCUUGAGGACCAAAGGGGUGCAUGGAAUUUCCGGUGGAGCGGUGAAAUGCGUUGAUAUCGGAAGGAACGUCGGCGGCGAAAGCGGUGCACUGGUUGGUCUCUGACGCUGAGGCGCGAAAGCCAGGGGAGCAAACGGG